AUGCCACGUGAUGAUGGUCCUUAUAAGGUGUUAGAGAAAAUAAAUGAUAAUGCAUAUAAACUUGUGCUGCCUGCAGAUUUUGGGGUUAGUCUCACUUUUAACAUUGCAGAUUUAAAGUCUUAUUCGGGUGAGGAAGAUGAGCUUCUGUCGAGAAUGACUUCAUUUCAAGAAGGGACUGAUGAUGAGGACAUCAAUACCAUUGUUACACCCACAACCCCUACUGCUAUACAUACUGGACCAAAUACUAGAGCUCGCGCACGUCAAUUGAAUUACCAGGUACUUUCGUUUCUUGGUAACAAUUCUAAUAUUCAUGAGAAUAUGAUGCUCCUAAAUUGGAUACAUUUGUUUUGCUUACAAAUGAAGGGCCUAGCUUGGAUAAGAAAGAUGAACCUUGGAGCAAGUUUAAGCAUGGAGAUGAUGACAUGCGCAAGGGGAACAAGAACGGAGUUAGAGCAUCUCCAGCCGUUGGCCCCCCAGGACGCAUUAAAAUCGCCCCUGGGGGCAAGCCGACGAUACAUUCGAUGCUGGGGGCGGUUUUGCGCCCAGUCAUCGCCCCCAGCUCCCCCCCAGGUGCCGAUGUUGGCCCGCUUUUCAGCCCCAUUUCGGCGAAUAAAAGCCAUAUGGGCGAGAAUAGGCCCAUAUUCAGUGUGGUUCGCCGUGGCUCGGCGUUCAAUUAUCAACAUAAAUAUAUUUUUUAUCACAUAUUUCAUCACAGAAAAAUCAAAUACUUCAACAAAAUAG
rnacentral:rRNA from 1 species